rnacentral:rRNA from 1 species
AGUGAACGCUGGCGGUAGGCCUAACACAUGCAAGUCGAACGGCAGCACAGUAAGAGCUUGCUCUUACGGGUGGCGGGUGGCGGACGGGUGAGGAAUACAUCGGAAUCUACUUUUUCGUGAGGGAUAACGUAGGGAAACUUACGCUAAUACCGCAUACGACCUACGGGUGAAAGCAGGGGAUCUUCGGACCUUGCGCGAUUGAAUGAGCCGAUGUCGGAUUAGCUAGUUGGCGGGGUAAAGGCCCACCAAGGCGACGAUCCGUAGCUGGUCUGAGAGGAUGAUCAGCCACACUGGAACUGAGACACGGUCCAGACUCCUACGGGAGGCAGCAGUGGGGAAUAUUGGACAAUGGGCGCAAGCCUGAUCCAGCCAUACCGCGUGGGUGAAGAAGGCCUUCGGGUUGUAAAGCCCUUUUGUUGGGAAAGAAAAGCAGCAGGUUAAUACCCCGCUGUUCUGACGGUACCCAAAGAAUAAGCACCGGCUAACUUCGUG